UACGUAGGGGGCAAGCGUUGUCCGGAUUCAUUGGGCGUAAAGGGCGCGUAGGCGGUUUGGCAAGUUUGGUGUGAAAUCUUCGGGCUCAACUCGAAGUCUGCAUCGAAAACUGCCGGGCUUGAGUAUGGGAGAGGUGAGUGGAAUUUCCGGUGUAGCGGUGAAAUGCGUAGAUAUCGGAAGGAACACCUGUGGCGAAAGCGGCUCACUGGACCAUAACUGACGCUGAGGCGCGAAAGCUAGGGGAGCAAACAGG
rnacentral:rRNA from 1 species